GCCGGGUGUGGUAGUGCAUGCCUGUAAUCCAGCAACUCAGGAGGCUCAGGUAGGAGGAUCACAAGUUCAAGGCCAGCCUCAGAAACUUAGAGAGGCCCUAAGCAAUUUAGUGAGACCAUAUCUCAA
rnacentral:sRNA from 1 species